rnacentral:misc_RNA from 1 species
GCUUUAAGUGUUAUGUUGAGACACCAGUUAAAUAUAUUCCUUCAGAUAUGAGAAAUGCAUUCUGUAUUUUAAAGAUGAGAGAGCUCCCAGUAGCAGAAAAGACGUGGAUUUGGGCAGCAUGCUUGCAGAAGCAUCUCUGGAGCCUGGAGCGCAGACUCACACCUACCCUGUGACGCUAAAGGAUUCCCGUCUGUUCUUAAGAAUCUGCACUUAGGACUCAGAGGCAGGUGCUGCUGUCGGGACUCAUAGGUGUCGUCUCCUGGAAGAGGCCUCUCUCCCUUGUGAUAACCUUUUUCAUGCUGCUUUCUGCGGUGUGUGUAAUGCUGAAUUUGGCUGGUUCAAUUCUCUCUUGUCAGAAUGCUCAGCUAGUCAACUCCCUAGAAGGCUGCCAGUUGAUUAAGUUUGACAGUGUGGAGGUGUGUGUCUGCUGUGAGCUGCAGCACCAGUCGUCCGGCUGCAGCAACCUCGGGGAGACGCUGAAGCUGAACCCGCUGCAGGAGAACUGCAACGCUGUGAGGCUGACCUUGAAGGAUCUCCUCUUC